rnacentral:rRNA from 1 species
CAGCAGCCGCGGUAAUACGUAGGGUGCGAGCGUUAAUCGGAAUUACUGGGCGUAAAGGGUGCGCAGGCGGUCCCGCAAGUCAGGCGUGAAAUCCCCGGGCUUAACCUGGGAAUGGCACUUGAAACUACGGGACUGGAGUAUGGCAGAGGGAGGUGGAAUUCCACGUGUAGCGGUGAAAUGCGUAGAGAUGUGGAGGAACACCGAUGGCGAAGGCAGCCUCCUGGGCCAAUACUGACGCUCAUGCACGAAAGCGUGGGGAGCAAACAGGAUUAGAUACCCUGGUAGUCCACGCCCUAAACGAUGAUGACUAGUUGUUGGAGGAGUUAAAUCCUUUAGUAACGCAGCUAACGCGAGAAGUCAUCCGCCUGGGGAGUACGGUCGCAAGAUUAAAACUUAAAGGAAUUGACGG